rnacentral:misc_RNA from 1 species
GUAGAUCGCACAUUACCGACAGCAAUUUAAAAUCACUGACUCAUGAGGACGGAGGGGAUAGAACGGUUGAGGGUAAAAGAGGAGAGCACGGGGAAUGCAGUUAGUGUACAAGUGUACUGCGACGAGUGUCGUUUCAGUAUUGGCCAAUACUGGCAUGAUCUUCGAUCGUAUGGGACGCGGAGGACAAGUUGCCAUAAAUGUGCAACCGGUCUUGCUUCGAUUCGUGAUCACACGUGCUGUUUUGUAUAUUCACGUGUUUUGUGAGGCUGAGAGUGCGCGGAUUCAUUGGACCAAAAUCGCAAGAUGGAGGGCGAGUAUCUAUAAACUCGUCUGGCUUGAUCUUGCACUCUAUCUCUCUAUUUAUUAUACCUUGUCCGGCAUCUAUCGUUUGGUAUUGGAUGAUAAGCAAAAGAAGAUUUUCGAAGCUGUGGUGGCGUACUGCAACGAGUACAGCAACUUGAUACCACUGUCGUUUGUCUUGGGCUUCUAUGUCAGUAUAGUCAUGACUAGAUGGUGGAAUCAAUAUAUGGCGAUACCAUGGCCCGAUUCCAUCGCGGUCUUCGUAUCGGCUAGUAUACAUGGAAACGACGAACGCGGCCGUCUGAUGCGUCGGACAAUUCUUAGGUACGUUUGUGUCUGUCUAACUGUAGUACUCACGAACGUUUCGCCACGAGUGAAGAAGAGAUUUCCUACUAUGGAGCAUUUCGUCGAAUCUGGAUUGUUGCUAGAAAGUGAGCUCUCAAUAUUCAAAAAUCUGAAUGCAAAAUUCCCCAAACCCAGCAAACAUUGGAUGCCGAUAGUUUGGGCGUCGAGCAUUGUGACUCGCGCUAGGAAAGAAGGUCGAAUACGCGAUGAUUUUGCGAUGAAAACCCUCAUAGAUGAACUCAAUCAUUUUCGUGGAAAGUGCGGCAGUAUUUCCCAAUAUGACACGAUCAGUGUCCCCCUAGUUUAUACUCAGGUGGUAACGUUGGCCGUUUAUACGUACUUUCUUACCAGUGUGAUAGGUCGUCAGGCCGUUCAAGACGCGGCCGUAAGUAUUGACCUGUACUUUCCAGUAUUUGCAACUUUGCAGUUCUUUUUCUAUAUGGGUUGGUUAAAAGUGGCCGAAACAUUGAUCAAUCCGUUUGGCGAAGAUGACGAUGAUUUUGAAGUGAAUUGGUUAAUCGAUCGCAAUUUGCAAGUGAGUUAUUUAAUUGUUGAUGAGAUGCAUCAUGAACAUCCCGAGCUCAUACGUGAUCAAUAUUGGGACGAGAUAUUCCCCAUGGAACUACCAUAUACAGCUGCGGCUCAGCCUUUCCGUGAAGAACAUCCGCAACCAUCAACAGCCAGGAUACAGUUGUCCGCAGCACAACAAGAGCUGCAACCGUCAUCGGUUAAGAUUGACGAAAUGUUGGCAGAUUAUCCUAAAUUCCAUUCAGAUAUCGCCGAUGAUGCUGCAUCAGGGAUACAUUUCACUGCGAGAGGCAAAAUGUCGCGGAGUACUAGCAGAGUGAGUACUCGGGAUCGUACGCUUAGCGGAGGUUCAACUUCCAGCAAUUUGGGCGGUUCGCUCACUAGAAUAAACAGCGUAACUAGUGUACUUAAGCGAUUCUUUAGUAGGGAAGAUAGACCAGAUGGAAUUACUAUGACUGAUAUUAAAACUCCGGGAAAGAUUCCAAGUUCGAGUUCCACAAUUUCUGAUGUUCUUGUUGCAGUAGAUAGACCAGGUGCAGGGGGUUCCAUGAGGAUAGGUGUCAUCGAGGAAGUAGACGAGCAGAUAACGUUAACUUCAAUGAAGCACGAUAGUAAACCCCAUGUACAAAGCAUAUUCGCACAAGGUCCACCACCAGCAAGUGCUCCUGUCGAUGUUCCCGGCAGUGAACGAUCUCGCAUGCGCGACAUGUUUCCCAGAAGCGCAUCUGUGGGAGGGAACAUAGUUUCAAGUGAUAAUUCAGAUUACAGAACUGCGCACGAAAAGCGGAAAAGCAUUAGUACCAGCUCAAAGCACAUUGAAAACUGAUAUUCAUCAGAAGAAGGUGAUGCUCUCUAUUUUGUAAGAUUGGAAAGGAAUGGUCUUUUUUUUGAGCUGCUACCAAACAACCAAACGAUUGAUUCGAACAACCCAACAAAUUUUAACUAUAUUCAAUUUUCACACAUUAAAUAUAAUUUAAAUUGUGUUGUUUGUUCAACUUUAAUGGAAUUCAACUUUUAACGGAGACCGAAUUUUUUAUUAUUCGGCAUAUUCUUCAGAUAUUGCUUCAUCGGAUUCUCACUUAUUUCGUCUUAUAUAAGGCAGUUUUUCUAAUAUACGACUUCGCAAUGUUGAGGAAGUGUAAUUCAUCGAUAACUUCAUUCAUUCUAAGAGCAAAGACUUCUUUUAUCCAUUUUUUGCCUGAAAGAUGGCACAAAAAAAAACGAUGGAAACUUUUGCAUAUCCCUAAUAUAUCAAAACAGAAUCAAGCAUUUUUUCGGCAAGUUAAGCAUUAAGAUUAAACGUUUUAAUUAGUAUCUAAUUUCAUUAAAAUAAGUUCGA